rnacentral:misc_RNA from 1 species
GAUGAGAACGUAGCGAAAUGCGAUAAGUAAUGUGAAUUGCAGAAUUCAGUGAAUCAUCGAAUCUUUGAACGCAUCUUGCGCUCCUUGGUAUUCUGAGGAGCAUGCCUGUUUGAGUGUCAUUAAAUUCUCAACUACACUGACUUUGAAUUGGUGUGGCUUGGAUUUGGGGGGAAAAUUGUUGUGGGCUUUUUGUAUAGUCUGCUCCCCUGAAAUUGAUUAGCGGUACCUUUGUGGAACUGUCUACAGGUGUGAUAAUUAUCUACAUCUUAGACAUCUGCUGGAAUGCUGCUUUCUAAACCUUACUUGUAUUGACAAUCUUGACCUCAAAUCAGGUAGGACUACCCGCUGAACUUAAGCAUAUCAAUAAGCGGAGGA